AGCAAUUCCUCUAAUCCUUUCUCUAAUGAUGCCUUUCUCUUGGAGUAGGUGUCCAGUUUGUUGAGAUCUAGCUUCCACAACUUGGGUGUCCAUAUGGCUUUGCUCCUACAACUGUUGCAUGUCCUCUUCCAAUCGAGACAUCAAUGCAUAACAAUUCUCUCUUUCUGCUUUGAAGUUCUUUGUUUGUUGAGCCAUUUAAUUCUCAAGGGUAGUUAGUUUCCUCUUUAAACUUGUGACUUCUUUGUCAUAUUUCCCUUUUAGUUGUUGAACCAACCCCGCCCGUCCUUCUGCGUUCUUUACCAACUUUGCCCGGGCUUUUGCCAAUUCAUCUUCGGCUUUUUCCAAAUCGGCCCCAUAAUCGCACACUUUCCGCCUAAGACCGUUUAUAAGUUUUUCAUCUGUUCUGCUCCAUGCCGGGUUUUCAGCAGCUAUUUUCAUCCUCUGAAUUUGGGCUCGGGGGGAUUCAUUCUCUCGGGCCAACUUUUUCUUCUCUCCUUUAUCAGCAGCAGCCUGCAAACCACUAUCAAAUUUAGUGUCUCUAAUUUGCCCUUUUAGCUUUCUUAUGGUAGCCCUAUAGUCAUUCUCUUUGUUCAACCAAGCCUAGUGUUCUUGUGAUGAGUCAACAAACUCUUGGAUGUGGGGCCUUUUUGGUUGGCCUUUCAGAUUCAUCAUUGGCCACAAUUCUCUUCCCAUACAAAGCAAGAUAACCUGGUGAAACCUCAUCCCUGGAUAAAUCACGCACUCGAGUUUAUGUCCUCAGAUACUGGCAUUCGCUCGAAAUCUGGCGAACCACUUCUUUAGGAAAUUGAGCCUCGGAGCGGAUUCAACUACAUGAAUACUAAGAUCUUCGUCUUUGGGGACUAUCUGUCAUCUUUCAAGUUGUCUCAGAACCCGGCAUAGGGCAUAGGGUUGGAUGCUUCAGAGACCCAUUAGCAGGAAGUAAGGACCGGUAGUAGGCAUGUAUACGAUCUCAUGAAUGGGAAGACAACCAGUAUCCACUCUAUCUGAUUCGCAGUCAUGGAACGGAGGUGGGAUAUCCAAUUUUUAACUCCUUCUGGUAUUUCAAAUCCAGUCACCCGAGUACCAAACUCUUCAAUGCAACUUUUUCCCAUGGACCCGUAGUUCAUGUAUCGGGGGCGGUGGUAGAGGUGUUCAAUCAUCCACAUUUGUAAUAAUAGAUUGCACCCCUCAAAAAACUCUAUUCGGGCCUUACAUGUUGUAAGAGCUCGGAAUAUUUCUGCUAUGAUCAUGGGCUCGAGGGUGCUCUUGGCAUUGGUAAUCAAAACUUUGACGAUUCCAGCUAAUCGCAAAUCAAUAUUCCCAUCUUCCCUUGGAAAUACUGAGAGGCCUAGAAAUACCACCAUGAAAGCAAAGCAUCUAUAUAUUUCACACUUUGAUCUAUUUCAGUUACUGCAAAGUCCAUCUUCUGGGUCAUCCAGUCCUCUUAAAUGCCCGAACCGCUGGUACAGAAAGUGUAAAGUGUAAAAUCCCUCUGUCAUAUUUGCAUUCCGGACUUGCUUGGUUAUUUUCAAUAAGUCCAAAAAUUUGUGGGGAGUAACGGCCCUUGGAGCUAUCAAUUAUUUGUGUCAUAAACCCUCUAUACUCCAAAUAUAACCCGCCAUUUCUUCCAAGGUAGUGUAAGCUCAAAAUCCAAGAAAUGCAUAACGUUGUGAGCGGGGUCCCAGAAUGUUACUAAUGCUCUGAUGAGGGUUGCCUACGUAUCCCACAUCCGGUGAGAAUCAAACCCGCGUAGUUCGGUCAGUUUUUGACAUAAUUGAAAAAUAUGACUCAUUUCGAAAUGACUUUUCCUCUUCUAAAUGAAAUUUCGGCAGAGUUGCGGGAUAUUUUGAACACCAUGUUUUUCAGAAACUGAUGAUUUUCUUUCUCACCUCAAUUUUGGUUUUUCUUGAUUUUCCUUCCCUUAUUCUAGAAACUGGUCAACAUGCAAACCGAAGCAAAUAAUUGUACAAGUAGCACGUAAAAAUGCAUCUGGAUGGUCAAAUGCACGUGACGCAAACAAGCGUUCCUACUAGGGAUCCGGUAUGAGGCUAUGUUAUUUUAGGGUUAAAACUUGGGUGUAUUGUUCUAGACCUGACUUACCCUAGCGGACAACUCGAGCCGAGGGUUCAACGUACUGGUAACCAAAAGGCCAUCCGGCUUUGUAGUUGAUCUGAUCCUCGUUCUAAAUUAGGGUGUGACUCUAACAGAAAAGAAGUCACAUCAGCGUAUACUUCCCAGAAGAUUUAGAAGACUUAGAGAGAAGAAGGGUUUUGUAACAAUUUAUAUAUAGUUCAAACAAUAUCAAAGUAGUAAAAAGCGGCAUUUAGCCUAUUAGGCUCAAACACGUAAAAAUCAGAUAAUAAACAAAGCCAAAUAUAACAAUUAUUCUAAGCUCAAAUUCUUGAACCCUGAACCAGAAAUUCUGGGUUUUUAUCCCUAGCAGAGUCGCCAGAGCUGUCAGAUCUCCUUUUUACCUGAAAGGGAUAUAAGGGAGUGUUUCCAAUUUAAGUGACAUUAAUCGAAAUGGGAUUAUUUAUUUAUUUCAGAGUCGCCACUUGGGAUAUUUAUUAUGGUGUCCAAAGUCACCGAUUUAUUUUAAAUCCCAAAUCAAGGAAAAUCAACUUUAUUUAAAAGUUCGUGAAACCAUAAAACUAGGUAAGGAAUUUUCGUUAACCCGGGAGAAGAUGUUAGGCAUUCUCGGAUUCCGUGGUUCUAGCACGGUCGAUUAACUAUUAAUAAUUGGCCAAAUUAUCUGAUUAAUUACAUAUUAUUUUAGACAUAUUGUGCAUUUUUAAUUUUUAAUAGCUUUAAAUUAUUUAUGGAAUUAUUUCUGGAAAAAGGUUAUGAUUGUCAUACACUUGCUUAUUUUGUACAUGUCGCAAAUCAUAUCACGGGAACCGUACCCACAACCAACAACAUGUGUAUUUUAUUAUUGUUCGAAGUUGUAGUCGGGUCACAUAAGAUGUGCACCUGAAUUUGGGGAAUUAGGUAUCACGACUAUGCCACGGGAACCGUACCCAUAGCCGUGAUGAUUUAUUUAACACUCGUGCCUAAAGCAAACUACGGUAUUCAUAUGAUCAUUUUUUCUAAGGUUUGAAGUCAAGUGAACGUCAAAGAAUUAUGAAAAGGGGUCGAGUAAAGUGUGAGUUCUAUUAAUGUGCGCACAUGAUCUAAAUAUGUUUUCUCUUGGAGUCAAUGAUGUCACUACAAGUUAAUGAACCAUUUUUGACAAAUUGGGCCAAGGUCGAUUGGAUCCAACAUUAUGUAAAGGAAACUAGUAAUUACUUAAUAUAAUUUUGACAAAAGGCUAAACUAAAAAAAAUCAUUUGUAUGGCAUAGAAGGGCUGGAAAGAGUUCAAACAACACAUCGGAAUCUCAAAAUCCUUGCCAAAUAUAGACAUGCACAAAUCCAGGCACCAACUAUUUUCAAAACCAUUAUACUAGCUACUUAAGUCACAUUUCAUGAACAAACAACAUAUAAUAAUCUGGGGAAUCUCAAGUUAAUAUGUACUGGUCCUAGACGUGUUUAAACAAAAUAGGCCUAGUAUUCAAACUAUGAACAAGAAAUAAUUGGGCUGCUGUAAAGAAAAGAGCUGAAACAGCUAUGAUUUAAACUAAGUAUGAAUACAUUUAUACACUAACAAUAAUAAAUGUCUUCAUUACAUUUUCACAAAUAAUUACAGGCCUUGAACUAAAUUAAGAAAAGUAAUAUGUAUAGGAUGGAAUCAAAUUGAUUUUGAAUCUGCCUAGUGAUCAAUUUAGCAACAAAUUUUGCCAUGUUCUUGAAGCUGCCUAUCAUUCACAAAAGGCUAACCAACUAGUGGCUAGAUUUUUAAAUCUGAGACUCAUGCCAAGCACUCACAAACUCUUGCAUUAUCAAAUGCCAACAAUACCAAAGCAAUGUAAGUUC
rnacentral:lncRNA from 1 species